GACGAACGCUGGCGGCGUGCUUAACACAUGCAAGUCGAACGGAAAGGCCCUGCUUUUGUGGGGUGCUCGAGUGGCGAACGGGUGAGUAACACGUGAGUAACCUGCCCUUGACUUUGGGAUAACUUCAGGAAACUGGGGCUAAUACCGGAUAGGAGCUCCUGCUGCAUGGUGGGGGUUGGAAAGUUUCGGCGGGUGGGGAUGGACUCGCGGGUUAUCAGCUUGUUGGGGGGGUAGUGGCUUACCAAGGCUUUGACGGGUAGCCGGCCUGAGAGGGUGACCGGCCACAUUGGGACUGAGAUACGGCCCAGACUCCUACGGGAGGCAGCAGUGGGGAAUAUUGCACAAUGGGCGGAAGCCUGAUGCAGCAACGCCGCGUGCGGGAUGACGGCCUUCGGGCUGUAAACCGCUUUCGCCUGUGACGAAGCGUGAGUGACGGUAAUGGGUAAAGAAGCACCGGCUAACUACGUG
rnacentral:rRNA from 1 species